GUGAACGCUGGCGGUAGGCCUAACACAUGCAAGUCGAACGGCAGCACAGAGGAGCUUGCUCCUUGGGUGGCGAGUGGCGGACGGGUGAGGAAUACAUCGGAAUCUACUCUUUCGUGGGGGAUAACGUAGGGAAACUUACGCUAAUACCGCAUACGACCUUCGGGUGAAAGCAGGGGAUCGCAAGACCUUGCGCGAUUGAAUGCGCCGAUGUCGGAUUAGCUAGUUGGCGGGGUAAAGGCCCACCAAGGCGAGGAUCCGUAGCUGGUCUGAGAGGAUGAUCAGCCACACUGGAACUGGGACACGGUCCAGACUCCUACGGGAGGCAGCAGUGGGGAAUAUUGGACAAUGGGCGCAAGCCUGAUCCAGCCAUACCGCGUGGGUGAAGAAGGCCUUCGGGUUGUAAAGCCCUUUUGUUGGGAAAGAAAAGCACACGGUUAAUACCCGAGUGUUCUGACGGUACCCAAAGAAUAAGCACCGGCUAACUUCGUGCCAGCCGCCGCAGUAAUAC
rnacentral:rRNA from 1 species